rnacentral:rRNA from 1 species
GGGUUGUGAGGUUAAGCGACUAAGCGUACACGGUGGAUGCCCUGGCAGUCAGAGGCGAUGAAGGACGUGCUAAUCUGCGAUAAGCGCCGGUAAGGUGAUAUGAACCGUUAUAACCGGCGAUUUCCGAAUGGGGAAACCCAGUGUGACUCGUCACACUAUCAUUAACUGAAUCCAUAGGUUAAUGAGGCGAACCGGGGGAACUGAAACAUCUAAGUACCCCGAGGAAAAGAAAUCAACCGAGAUUCCCCCAGUAGCGGCGAGCGAACGGGGAGGAGCCCAGAGCCUGAAUCAGCAUGUGUGUUAGUGGAAGCGUCUGGAAAGGCGCGCGAUACAGGGUGACAGCCCCGUACACAAAAGCGCAUGUGCUGUGAGCUCGAUGAGUAGGGCGGGACACGUGGUAUCCUGUCUGAAUAUGGGGGGACCAUCCUCCAAGGCUAAAUACUCCUGACUGACCGAUAGUGAACCAGUACCGUGAGGGAAAGGCGAAAAGAACCCCGGCGAGGGGAGUGAAAAAGAACCUGAAACCGUGUACGUACAAGCAGUGGGAGCACCCUUUGGGGUGUGACUGCGUACCUUUUGUAUAAUGGGUCAGCGACUUAUAUUCUGUAGCAAGGUUAACCGUAUAGGGGAGCCGUAGGGAAACCGAGUCUUAACCGGGCGUUAAGUUGCAGGGUAUAGACCCGAAACCCGGUGAUCUAGCCAUGGGCAGGUUGAAGGUUGGGUAACACUAACUGGAGGACCGAACCGACUAAUGUUGAAAAAUUAGCGGAUGACCUGUGGCUGGGGGUGAAAGGCCAAUCAAACCGGGAGAUAGCUGGUUCUCCCCGAAAGCUAUUUAGGUAGCGCCUCGUGAAUUCAUCUCCGGGGGUAGAGCACUGUUUCGGCUAGGGGGCCAUCCCGGCUUACCAACCCGAUGCAAACUGCGAAUACCGGAGAAUGUUAUCACGGGAGACACACGGCGGGUGCUAACGUCCGUCGUGAAGAGGGAAACAACCCAGACCGCCAGCUAAGGUCCCAAAGUCAUGGUUAAGUGGGAAACGAUGUGGGAAGGCCCAGACAGCCAGGAUGUUGGCUUAGAAGCAGCCAUCAUUUAAAGAAAGCGUAAUAGCUCACUGGUCGAGUCGGCCUGCGCGGAAGAUGUAACGGGGCUAAACCAUGCACCGAAGCUGCGGCAGCGAACGUAUCACCCAAGACAACUUUACGGAGUUGACGAUUGACGGAGCGAAGCGACGUCAAAGCGUUCAUUAAAGUCGAGUUGGCUUAGGGAUACGUUCGUUGGGUAGGGGAGCGUUCUGUAAGCCUGUGAAGGUGUGUCGUGAGGCAUGCUGGAGGUAUCAGAAGUGCGAAUGCUGACAUAAGUAACGAUAAAGCGGGUGAAAAGCCCGCUCGCCGGAAGACCAAGGGUUCCUGUCCAACGUUAAUCGGGGCAGGGUGAGUCGACCCCUAAGGCGAGGCCGAAAGGCGUAGUCGAUGGGAAACGGGUUAAUAUUCCCGUACUUGGUGUUACUGCGAAGGGGGGACGGAGAAGGCUAUGUUGGCCGGGCGACGGUUGUCCCGGUUUAAGCGUGUAGGUGUGUGUUCCAGGUAAAUCCGGUUCACUUUAACACUGAGGCGUGACGACGAGGCACUACGGUGCUGAAGCAACAAAUGCCCUGCUUCCAGGAAAAGCCUCUAAGCAUCAGGUAACAUCAAAUCGUACCCCAAACCGACACAGGUGGUCAGGUAGAGAAUACCAAGGCGCUUGAGAGAACUCGGGUGAAGGAACUAGGCAAAAUGGUGCCGUAACUUCGGGAGAAGGCACGCUGACACGUAGGUGAAGUGAUUUACUCAUGGAGCUGAAGUCAGUCGAAGAUACCAGCUGGCUGCAACUGUUUAUUAAAAACACAGCACUGUGCAAAAACGAAAGGGGACGUAUACGGUGUGACGCCUGCCCGGUGCCGAAAGGUUAAUUGAUGGGGUCAGCGCAAGCGAAGCUCCUGAUCGAAGCCCCGGUAAACGGCGGCCGUAACUAUAACGGUCCUAAGGUAGCGAAAUUCCUUGUCGGGUAAGUUCCGACCUGCACGAAUGGCGUAAUGAUGGCCAGGCUGUCUCCACCCGAGACUCAGUGAAAUUGAACUCGCUGUGAAGAUGCAGUGUACCCGCGGCAAGACGGAAAGACCCCGUGAACCUUUACUAUAGCUUGACACUGAACAUUGAGCCUUGAUGUGUAGGAUAGGUGGGAGGCUUUGAAGUGUGGACGCCAGUCUGCAUGGAGCCGACCUUGAAAUACCACCCUUUAAUGUUUGAUGUUCUAACGUGGACCCGUUACCCGGGUUGCGGACAGUGUCUGGUGGGUAGUUUGACUGGGGCGGUCUCCUCCUAAAGAGUAACGGAGGAGCACGAAGGUUGGCUAAUCCUGGUCGGACAUCAGGAGGUUAGUGCAAUGGCAUAAGCCAGCUUGACUGCGAGCGUGACGGCGCGAGCAGGUGCGAAAGCAGGUCAUAGUGAUCCGGUGGUUCUGAAUGGAAGGGCCAUCGCUCAACGGAUAAAAGGUACUCCGGGGAUAACAGGCUGAUACCGCCCAAGAGUUCAUAUCGACGGCGGUGUUUGGCACCUCGAUGUCGGCUCAUCACAUCCUGGGGCUGAAGUAGGUCCCAAGGGUAUGGCUGUUCGCCAUUUAAAGUGGUACGCGAGCUGGGUUUAGAACGUCGUGAGACAGUUCGGUCCCUAUCUGCCGUGGGCGCUGGAGAACUGAGGGGGGCUGCUCCUAGUACGAGAGGACCGGAGUGGACGCAUCACUGGUGUUCGGGUUGUCAUGCCAAUGGCACUGCCCGGUAGCUAAAUGCGGAAGAGAUAAGUGCUGAAAGCAUCUAAGCACGAAACUUGCCCCGAGAUGAGUUCUCCCUGAGACUUAGAGUCUCCUGAAGGAACGUUGAAGACGACGACGUUGAUAGGCCGGGUGUGUAAGCGCAGCGAUGCGUUGAGCUAACCGGUACUAAUGAACCGUGAGGCUUAACCUUACAACGCCGAAG